rnacentral:rRNA from 1 species
AUUGAACGCUGGCGGAAUGCUUUACACAUGCAAGUCGAGCGGCAGCGCGGGGCAACCUGGGCGGCGAGCGGCGAACGGGUGAGUAAUGUAUCGGAACGUAUCCUUAAGUGGGGGACAACUAGUCGAAAGACUAGCUAAUACCGCAUACGAUCGAGAGAUGAAAGUGGGGGACCGCAAGGCCUCACGCUUUUGGAGCGGCCGAUAUCCGAUUAGCUUGUUGGUGAGGUAAAGGCUUACCAAGGCUAUGAUCGGUAGCUGGUCUGAGAGGAUGAUCAGCCACACUGGGACUGAGACACGGCCCAGACUCCUACGGGAGGCAGCAGUGGGGAAUUUUGGACAAUGGGGGGCAACCCUGAUCCAGCCAUGCCGCGUGAGUGAAGAAGGCC